GGGCUAAAGGCAUGUGUGAGUGGAGGAACGAAAGGACAAGAAGAAAAAAACCUGAACAGAUAAGAAACUUUUCCACUGCCGGAACAAGUUGUCCUUAGUGUUUCUCUUCUUGGUUGCGUCUGGCGUCUACAGAAUGUAUCAAAUAGGAGAUAACUGUGUGCUCCCAUGACUGCAAACAGAAGAGAGAGGAGAACUGCUGAGUGAGCGCAGACAACAGCUAUUCUGUCUCUGCUAAACAUCUUCAAGGUCUUUGUUGAGAGAUAAAUGGCCAACAGAAGGUGCUUUCCCAGAACAGACCCAUCUGGAUGCUCAAGGGGUAAGUUCUCUGCACACCAUUUGCUAUUCAUUUUAAUAGAAAUUACAUGUUGCAAACUUGGAAAACUUUUCCCUAAUUUUUCAUCAAUGUUUUAUUUCAAAGAUGGAUUAUGCACAUUAUAUUGUCAAAGACGUCAAGCAGACCAGGUAUUUUAAGCUUUUUGUUCUGUUUAACACAUAAUCUUUUUCUUUAUGUCGGCUUUUUAGGUUUCUGCAUGUUGCAGCAUGGCAGCAGGGCUUGUUGUACUCGCUGUUCCUUUUUCCUAUGCAUAUACUUCUUUGAGAUGUAACUUUAAAGAGGCAUAAGGCAUGGGAAAAUGGGGCUGCAGAGGUAUUCCACCUAGCUGAGCUCAACCUCUUCUCCAUAAGACAGCAGACGUUAAUUCUGCAGUGAGUUGCAUCCAGCCUGACUUGGAGUCUGUAAUUUGUUGAUUCUAAAAACUGCUUUUAUAUUUAAAAAUCAACUUUUUGGAUAUGGAGUGAACAAAUGGUUUUGAAUAAUCAUUCAUCUUGUCUUGUUUGUCUCUGACGUUGUUGCUUUAUUUUUUAUUUUAAAUAAAAGUCUGUGUCUUUAAA